GGGCAUGUAGUGUAGUUGGUUAUCGCGUUCGCUUCGCAUGCGAAAGGUCUCCGGUUCGAUUCCGGACUUGUCCA
rfam:Lipomyces starkeyi NRRL Y-11557 unplaced genomic scaffold LIPSTscaffold_1, whole genome shotgun sequence.